UCGGCCACCUCCUCCUUGUCAUCCCCUUCAUCCUCCUCAUCUUCCUCCAAGUCGUCACCAACCCUAAAGGGUUCUAUAGGCGGAGCCCCGAGCUCCUCAGCACGCCCCCUUCUCUCCCCCCUCCUCUGCUCCAUGCCGUCCUCCAUGGCGCCACGUGUUCACGCCCUCGCCUUCAAGCUGGUUCUCGCCUCGUCUCCGAUCUCAGCUUCCUGUCUCAUAACUAUGUACUCCCGAUCCCGCCUCCCUGACGCCUCACACCACCUGUUCGACGAAAUCCCUGUGGCCUAUCGAGACCCCUUCUGUUACUCCUCCAGCAUCGUUGGCCUCGCACAGAACGGCCGUCCGCGGGAGUCUCUGUCCGUCUUUGUUUGUAUGCGAUCCAAUGCCGUUGCUUCCACCAGGUACGCACUGUCGGGUGCACUCCGGGCGGCCGCGGCACUUGAUGCUCUAGAGCAGGCUUGUGGGAUUCAUGCGCAUGCAUUGGUGAUUGGACUUGAUGAAAAUGUGUCUGGAACCGCGCUGCUGGAUGCAUAUGGGAAGGCUGGGGUUGUGGAAGAUGCACGGAAGGUGUUUGAGGGGUUGGGUGAUGAUCGGAACUUGAUCACGUGGAAUGUCAUGCUGGCUGCACAGCAGGGGGAUGUCCAGACGGUUAACGGGUUGUUCCAUGAGAUGAUGGAGUCGUGCUUUGAGCCUGAUGGGCUGACGUUUCUUGCUCUUCUCACAGCAUGUAGCAAUGCUGGUGCAGCAAGAGAGGCCGAGUUUUGGUUGGAAGCAAUGCAUUCAAAGUACAAGGUGAAGCCUGGCCUUGAACAUUACACAUGUGUGAUUGCUGGAGUGGCUCGGGUGGGACGCCUUGAGGAUGCGGGUAUCAUUGCAUCUACAGUUCCAUGCAAGCCAGACGCAGCUGUGUGGCGGACACUCCUAACAGGCUGCGUGGUUCACCGUAAGGAUGAUAUGGCGGGGAUCAUGGGGCAGUGCCUAUUGGAGAUUGACCCAAAGGAUGAUUCAGCCAAUGUGAUGCUUGCCAAUGUCGACUCCACAACAGUAAGGAAGGAUGAGGUGGCUGAGGCAUGGACUGCAACGAGGCACUGCGAAGUCAGAAAAGAAGUCGGUCGAAGUUGGGUUGAGGUGAGAGGAUAG
rnacentral:rRNA from 1 species